GCUAUAGCUCAAUGGUAAGAGCACCUGCCUUGCAUACAGAAGUCCAGUCUCUGGCAUUUCCAGGUACAGCUAGGAAGGAUGCUUCAUCUAAACCCUGGGAACCACUCAUAACUCACUAAAGUAGGCAGUACUGACCUGGGUGGAUCAAUGGUGUGACUUGGCUAAGACAGAUCAUUCAUGUUCUUAAAUCCCUUGAGUCAUACUUCAGUCUUUGGGCUGAGACUAAAUUGGUGGUGGGACACAUGCAUUGCAUGCGGAAGGUCCCAAGUUUAAUCCCUGGCAUCUCCA